GAGUUUGAACUUUCAAUACAUGUUAAUACAUAAAAUUAUAAGAUUUUACAAGUCUGAUUUGGACAACAACAACUGAUUAAAACAAUUUUAAAUGUCUAUGCAAUGGCAGUUGUAGAACUUCAAAUUUUGUCUCUGAUGUGCUCUUUUCAUCUUUUUAACACAUUUAUUAUCGAAUUUUUAAAUAAAUCUCAAAUUGUCAAGUUGUUAGCAAUCUGGAUAUGGCUGCAGAGAUCUAGGGUAGGAUUCACGCCCAUUUCUGUGUCGGGGCUAUCAUUUUGCGUAAUAGUUGUAGGUUAUCUGUUCUUGGCGGUGGCUGGGUGUGUGCCUCAAGGAAGUCGGAACAUUAAAGAACCAGGACUCAGUAUAGUUGGAGUCCAGCAAAUAGAUCAUGUAGUUGAAGUUGUAGAGGAGACUUUAAAAGGUGAUGAAGUGCGGAUUUUGACCCGCAAGACGUUGCCAGCACUUGACCUCCCUCCCCAAGGUGCGGAAGAACAAAUUUGUUGAGAAACAUCUAAACUUUCAUCUCCAGACAUAGCGUGUAAAAACAGUUGUAGCUGAUGGAGUAAAGGAGAUAUGGCUGAGUAGUGAAGACACUGGAGCAUAUGGUUGUGACAUUGGGGUUAAUCUUCCAAUAUUAUUGAAUGCUAUUGUUGCUGAACUUCCUUCUGAUGCAAGCACAAUGCUUCGAAUUUGGAUGACAAAUCCACCUUUCAUUCUUGAACACUAGAAAGAGAUAGAAGAAGUUUUGCGCCAUCCAUGUGUGUACUCCUUUCUUCAUGUACCAUGCCGGCUGGAAGUGAUGCCAUUUUGACUGUAUGUCCCAAUAUUGUUGAUCUUUUCUUUUUAGUGCUGAUAGUAGCUUCUCCUUACCCCUGCAACCCUAACAACGAUUCCAGCUGUAGUUGUAUAAUUUAUGUUAGGGUGGCUGCUAGAAAAUAUCAUUGUAUGAGAUCUUCUAUGUAGAUAUAAAGGGUCUUGUUGUCAGGCAAUGAAUCGAGAAUACACUGUGAAUGUAUUCAGGACUGUGGUCGACACCUUGACUGAGCUAGUUCCAGAAAUGCAGAUUGCUACCGAUAUAAAAUUUAGAUUCCCAGGUUAGUUUGCAGACUCAGAUUUCCAGUUCGCGGUCCUUUAUUUUCUGUAAUUUUUUAAGUCUCACUUGUUAAUUGCAUAUUUCUAUAAUAGUUGUCACAAUAAUUUACUGGUACACUUUUUAAGUGAACUAUCUAAAAUAGUGAUAUGACAUGUAAUUUCUAGAUUGUGAAAUCAUAGAUGUUUGGUCGGGUAAUAAUUGACCCUUUGUGAUUUUUCAAAACCAAUAUAACAUACUUGCGACUUGUAUUUUGUUUUCAAGUUUAUACUAGUAUAUAUUUAACAAAAAGGUUACUGAAGAUAUUAACUCUGUUAAAAUCAAUUAAAAAGAGUAGGUCAAAGUUAAAAUCUGUCGACUUUUUUAAUUGAUGGGGGCAAUAAUUAUGGUGUUAUUCAGUGUAAUUGUUUAUUUUCCUGUGUUUCUUAUCCAUUUCUUUCUGGAUCAUCAAAUGUACAAUGAGUUGCUCCAUUAUGAAAACUCAUGACUAUAUCAUAUGCAUAUUAUAUGGAGGAAAAACAUCAUUUAUUUCUUUUUGUAGUUUGAGGGACUGCUGCAUUGCGUGUGCACACCUUGGUCAUUUUAACAUCUAGUAUGUAGUGUUCGCCUCGAGUGUGUUAUGAAAAUUUAUAGCUGUGGUACUCACACCAUAAUGGACGAAGUGUGUAAUGGCAUCUACUUCAUGCUAUUUUCUAUAUUUAAUCUGCUUUCCAAAUCCAGGGACACCUGCUGCAAGGAUGAAGAAGGUCCCAAGUAAUGUAGUAAAGCAACAAAGCCGUGAAUUGACUUCUAUCUUUGAAGCUUUCAUUCCUUACAAUGGAAUGGAGGGCAGAAUGGAAAGAAUAUGGAUAACAGAUCGCAACAGAUGGAAUUCACUUGAUGAGAUGGAAAUAUCUAAAUGAAACACCAUCGUUCUAAGGCCCAGUUGCUGUUUUUAUUUUAUUGUCUAAUAAAUUGGAUCUAGGUGGUCAUGAAAAGUUUACUAGGAUUGCGUGUUAAUCCUUCUCUGAUAUGUUUUUCAUGUUCUUAUUCGUUUCUCAUUUCUAUUGAAACCAACUUGCUUACACUGACUUAAAAAUGAGAGCCCCUCUCUUUUUUGGCUCAGUCCAAACAUAACACUUGCUUCUCUCUCUCUCUCUCUUUCCUGGAACUGAAUGGUGAGCUUUCUUAGUUUAUGAUUCGACCUCUUAUUUCCUCUUUUUUUUCAUUUCCCUAGGUUGGCCACACAAAAGCAUACAAGCAGGUUCUCAUAGUUGCUCCAGAAAGCAUGCUUGGUGCUUCAGCUAUUGUUAAGAUAACCUCUGUUGGAAGGUGGUCAGUGAUUGAGACUCUCAACCAAAUAAAUCAGAAAACAAAGUCGGUGGAGAAAACACUCUGUGAGUACAAAUGUUCUCCCUGUUCUGACCCAUGUGAGUGUUGUGAAUAUUCAAGAGAGACAGAAGCUUGUGCUUGUGGGGAUCAGAGAGCUGUGUAGGACCGACUACUUUAGAGCAAAGCCAAAUUCUCAGAAUGGCAUGCUGCCAGAAGACCGAAACAAAAGAAAUCUCAUUGGAUGGUUCCUAAGAAAGUGGAAAAAUUAGUCACAAAAAAUGGUGGUGAAUGAUACUGCCUCGGGAUCCAAAAAAGAAGAAGCGAGAGUGGGCCAAAGGAGCGGGUGAUUGGGUGUUGUGGAUAGGACACUUCUAGGAGGAUUAAUUGUCAGCUUUUUUACUGUUGUAGCUUCACUAAUACAUGUUGGAUUUAGGACCGUGUCAUCCAAGUCAACUAUAUAUUUGUAUUUUACUUGUCCAGUUUUUUUGUGGGGUAAUCUUCAUAGAAGAUUUGACACGUAUGGAAAUUCUUGUGUUGUAAAUGGCAAGAGUUCUGUUCCAAUGUUA